rnacentral:lncRNA from 1 species
UGGAGUCUGUCCAGCCGUGUGUUUGCCCAUUCAUCUUCUGGCUCCCCAUUCAGGCGUCUGGGGGAGGAAGAAAAGGACAAAGGAGAAAGAGAGGAGCGGACGAAAUAGGUGUCUGGGAGACAUCAUUGUCUAAAGCUGUAAAGAUCCACCCUGAGUUUGACACUGCAAGACUGGACAGAGAUGUGCGUAAGCUGAGGCCUGGUGGGUAUUGCAGGCUGCUUGCGUUCCAGCCCUCCCGCUGGCUCCCACGCGCCUCUCUC